UGGAUUGGGCAAAAUAACGUAGGGGCGAAGAUCGUUGAAAUUAUCCAACGACGAUAAGAAAAGCAGCAAAGGUAACUAAUUAAAUCACAAAUCCGUUGUCGGAGUCGUUUAUCGAACACAAAAGCACCGAGUAGCUAUCAACGCUUCCGCACCUGAGACGCGUUCCAGAUCGACUGAAGAUUAAACGUCGCGGUACCGCGGCAUGUGCUCUUCUACCCUCACCACCGACCGCCCAGCUUUAUUUUCCGCUUGGAUUAAAAGUACGACGCAUGCGCUCCAUAUUUACGAUUAUUGUUUGCAUCAUAAUUCUUCUUUCUUUCUAAUAUGUAGAGAUACUGUGAACCUGAAAGUUGCUAAAAAAAUGGUAUUAGUCUUACAACUAUCUACCUAAUAUAAUACAAUAAUAAUCUAAUAUAGUAAAUAUGAAUAAUAGAACUUUAGCAAAUUUAUUCUUUAACGUUUUCAUUCACAAAUUAACAAAAAAAAAUAUAUAUAUAUAUAUAUAUAUAUAUAUAUAUAUAUAAAAACAGUACUGCUCCAAAAUCCCAAUACAAUCUUCUGUAAGAUAUAUUAUAUUACAGAAAACAAAGGCGCAGACUGCGAUGUUACGUUGGAGAUAUCACCGUAAAGGUAUCACCUUGUCUCCUUUAUUGGAUAUACUCAAUUUCGCAACCCACGCACCCUAACGUUCGUAGUCGCCAUCCUCGACGCUUUCGACGACCUUGUUGUGUCCUGUCCGUCGAAGAGAAGUAAGCUAAAAUUAGGGACUCACGUUAUCGCCAAGGAUGAAACGUGCAAGUGAACGUAAAACCUACUACCAAGCUUGCACUGGACACUUGAUCGGUUCCCCUCUCUUCACGCUGACAUCACGAUACAGAGAACUAACUGGUCAGUAGAGUAGUCUGCUUUGCUCGUUGCCAGACGGUGAUAGUCGAGAAAUUUUCGUUUCCUGUCCGUCGUUCGAUUCGCAUUGGAGGAAGCACUCGACGAUUCAAUAUUUGAUAUUCGACGAUCGAUUCGUGAUCCUUGAUCCGCGCAGUGCCGUUGUUGAAAUUGUUUUGCGCUGGCCAGCAGCGCUACCAUCUAUGUUUCUUGGUUCGUUUGAAACUGAAUUAAUGCUGACAACAGGAAACGCUUCCGGAGAGCACUUCUGUCAUCGUGCAUGAUAACUAAGUACGUAUCUCUUUGCUCCUAAAUGCCGCGCUUCGCCAUCCAGAGAUCUUGGUUUGCUUUCUAUUGUUAAUAGCCGGACAUCAAAACCAUUCUUUCGUUAUUUCUUGCUUAAGGGGCUUGGAACAUUCAACAAUUUCUUGUUUUAAUUAAAAUUUAAGCGAUUCCAAACAGUUAUAUUGUUUUCUAGGAUAAAAAAGAAACAGUACAUUUUCAAAUAGGCAGUGUCUUAAUCGAUUUCGAUAAAAUUAUAUACGUUUAGAUAACAUUUAUAUCGAUAAUCGAGCGGGAAAUAAAAAUUUUUAGUUUCUUGCGUCUCUUGAAAACGUAGGUUUUUAGUACAAAGAUACACUUUUCUCAGAAACGGUUAGACCGAUAUGCAUCGCAAUAUUACACGCUUGUUUUUUGAUAGCCGGGCCUAAUUUACACCUAGGAUUUUUUUGAAAUUCCGAAAGGUUAAUAUUUUUUAAAUGUUCAAAGUUGAACAAAGAAAUUUAUAGGUUCGCGCGGCGGUAACUUUUUUUGGAAUCAAAACAUUGAAGAAAUCCUCGGGUGUAAAUUAGGCCCGACUAUAUUAAUAAAAAAAAAAAAAAG